GAUGAACGCUAGCGGCGUGCCUAAUACAUGCAAGUCGAGCGAACAGACGAGGAGCUUGCUCCUCUGACGUUAGCGGCGGACGGGUGAGUAACACGUGGAUAACCUACCUAUAAGACUGGGAUAACUUCGGGAAACCGGAGCUAAUACCGGAUAAUAUAUUGAACCGCAUGGUUCAAUAGUGAAAGACGGUUUUGCUGUCACUUAUAGAUGGAUCCGCGCCGCAUUAGCUAGUUGGUAAGGUAACGGCUUACCAAGGCAACGAUGCGUAGCCGACCUGAGAGGGUGAUCGGCCACACUGGAACUGAGACGCGGUCCAGACUCCUACGGGAGGCAGCAGUAGGGAAUCUUCCGCAAUGGGCGAAAGCCUGACGGAGCAACGCCGCGUGAGUGAUGAAGGUCUUCGGAUCGUAAAACUCUGUUAUUAGGGAAGAACAAAUGUGUAAGUAACUAUGCACGUCUUGACGGUACCUAAUCAGAAAGCCACGGCUAACUACGUG
rnacentral:rRNA from 1 species